rnacentral:lncRNA from 1 species
AUCCGCCUGUUCACCGUCGCACCCUAUGGGUGCGAUGGUAGCCACACCGCACAUCCGCCUGUUCACCAUCGCGCCCUCUGGGCGCGAUGGUAGCCGCACCACACAUCCGCCUGUUCACCGUCGCACCCUAUGGGUGCGAUGGUAGCCGCACCACACAUCCGCCUGUUCACUGUCGCACCCUAUGGGUGCGAUGGUAGCCGCACCGCACAUCCGCCUGUUCACCAUCACGCCCUAUGGGCGCGAUGGUAGCCGCACCGCACAUCCGCCUGUUCACCAUCGCACCCUAUGGGUGCGAUGGUAGCCGCACCGCACAUCCGCCUGUUCACCGUCGCACCCUAUGGGUGCGAUGGUAGCCGCGCCGCACAUCCGCCUGUUCACCGUCGCGCCCUAUGGGUGCGAUGGUAGCCGCGCCGCACAUCCGCCUGUUCACCGUCGCACCCUAUGGGUGCGAUGGUAGCCACACCGCACAUCCGCCUGUUCACCAUCGCGCCCUAUGGGCGCGAUGGUAGCCGCACCACACAUCCGCCUGUUCACCGUCGCGCCCUAUGGGUGCGAUGGUAGCCGCGCUGCACAUCCGCCUGUUCACCGUCGCACCCUAUGGGUGCGAUGGUAGCCGCACCGCACAUCCGCCUGUUCACCAUCGCACCCUAUGGGUGCGAUGGUAGCCGCACCGCACAUCCGCCUGUUCACCGUCGCGCCCUAUGGGUGCGAUGGUAGCCGCACCGCACAUCCGCCUGUUCACCAUCGCACCCUAUGGGCGCGAUGGUAGCCGCGCCGCACAUCCGCCUGUUCACCGUCGCACCCUAUGGGUGCGAUGGUAGCCGCGCCGCACAUCCGCCUGUUCACCAUCGCGCCCUAUGGGCGCGAUGGUAGCCGCGCCGCACAUCCGCCUGUUCACCAUCGCACCCUAUGGGUGCGAUGGUAGCCGCACCGCACAUCCGCCUGUUCACCAUCGCGCCCUAUGGGCGCGAUGGUAGCCGCGCCGCACAUCCGCCUGUUCNNNNNNNNNNNNNNNNNNNNNNNNNNNNNNNNNNNNNNNNNNNNNNNNNNGCCGACGCAUCUCACGGCGGGGGUUAAUUGCGUGCGCGUUCGCAUGCGGCAUGUCCCGCCACCUUUCUGGCAUCUAGUUGAUGGUAUGAUGAAUCGUUGUGCGGUGUAGGGCUGCGCCUGAUGCGAUUUCGUUUGCGGAAGCCCCCCCUGAGUGCUGCCAAACAUGUUAUUCUCUCAUGAGACUGCGUUAAGGUUUACGAACUGAGUAUGCGACCAACACAUAAAACAUCGCAUGCGAAUUGUUAUGUCAUGCGAUUCAUCAAAGGUAAAUCGUGUGUGCUUGUUGUGUGUUAGCUUAGGCCGCAUUAAGCUUGACGCAACGAGCCUUCAUACGCUUGAAAUGCAACAUUUGUUUGCAUGCGAAUUGCGUUGCGAUAUGUGUGCGUUUGGUAAGUGUUAGGCUGCGUUAAGCUUUACGCAAUGAGCCUUUAUACGCAUGAAACGCAGCAUGUAUUAGCAUGCGAAAUGCGUUGCGAAAUGUGUGCGUAAGGUGAGUGUUAGGCCGCGUUAAGCUUUACGCAAUCAGCCUUCAUACGCAUGAUACGCAACAUGCAUUCGCAUGCAAAUAGCCUUGCGGACUGUGUGCGUUUGGUGUGCGAGUGGACGCGAAUUGCUUUACGCAUUGUCUCCCCACACGCAUGAAUCGCAAUAUGGAAUCGCAUGCGUAUCGCCUUGCUACACAUGCGCGUAUGCUUCGCGUUUCAACAUACGCACGGAUGAAUUGUUCAAGUCGACCAAAACGACGCAAGUUUAUUUCCAAAUAAACCUUUACAAUCUGAAAAUUAUAAAUUUUUAAAAAACUUGGCCGAUUUCCGCUUUUCCAUAGCCGUUGUGCGUUAGCUCUUUGCGUUACAAAAGCAUGCUCAUUCGCACCUAACGCUAAGAUUCGCACCGUUACGCGAACUAACGCGAGCUAACGCGGACUUAACGCGAUCACCCGUUGUCAUAGUGGUGGACAGCUAGCUCUUAUGGCNNNNNNNNNNNNNNNNNNNNNNNNNNNNNNNNNNNNNNNNNNNNNNNNNNNNNNNNNNNNNNNNNNNNNNNNNNNNNNNNNNNNNNNNNNNNNNNNNNNNNNNNNNNNNNNNNNNNNNNNNNNNNNNNNNNNNNNNNNNNNNNNNNNNNNNNNNNNNNNNNNNNNNNNNNNNNNNNNNNNNNNNNNNNNNNNNNNNNNNNNNNNNNNNNNNNNNNNNNNNNNNNNNNNNNNNNNNNNNNNNNNNNNNNNNNNNNNNNNNNNNNNNNNNNNNNNNNNNNNNNNNNNACCAUCGCGCCCUAUGGGCGCGAUGGUAGCCGCACCGCACAUCCGCCUGUUCACCGUCGCACCCUCUGGGCGCAAUGAUAGCCGCUCUGCACAUCCGCCUGUUCACCAUCGCACCCUCUGGGUGUGAUGGUAGCCGCGCCGCACAUCCACCUGUUCACUGUCGCGCCCUAUGGGUGCGAUGGUAGCCGCACCGCACAUCCGCCUGUUCACCUUCACGCCCUCUGGGUGCGAUGGUAGCCACGCCGCACAUCCGCCUGUUCACCAUCGCACCCUAUGGGUGCGAUGGUAGCCCUGCCGCACAUCCGCCUGUUCACCAUCGCACCCUAUGGGUGCGAUGGUAGCCGUGCCGCACAUCCGCCUGUUCACCAUGACACCCUCUGGGUACGAUGGUAGCCGCACCGCACAUCCGCCUGUUCACCAUUGCACCCUAUGGGUGCGAUGGUAGCCCUGCCGCACAUCCGCCUGUUCACCAUCGCACCCUAUGGGUGCGAUGGUAGCCGUGCCGCACAUCCGCCUGUUCACCAUGACACCCUCUGGGUACGAUGGUAGCCGCACCGCACAUCCGCCUGUUCACCAUUGCACCCUCUGGGUGUGAUGGUAGCCGUGCCGCACAUCCACCUGUUCACUGUUGCACCCUCUGGGCACGAUGGUAGCCGCGCCGCACAUCCACCUGUUUACCGUCGCACCCUUUGGGCGCGAUGGUAGCCACACCGCACAUCCGCCUGUUCACCAUUGCACCCUAUGGGUGCGAUGGUAGCCGUGCCGCACAUCCACCUGUUCACCGAUCGCACCCUAUGGGUGCGAUGGUAGCCGCGCCGCACAUCCGCCUGUUCACCGACGCGCCCUAUGGGUGCGAUGGUAGCCGCACCGCACAUCCGCCUGUUCAGUGUCGCGCCCUAUGGGUGCGAUGGUAGCCUGCCGCACAUCCGCCUGUUCACCCUCACGCCCUCUGGGCGCGAUGGUAGCCGCGCCGCACAUCCGCCUGUUCACCAUCACGCCCUCUGGGUGCGAUGGUAGCCGCACCGCACAUCCGCCUGUUCACUGUCGCGCCCUCUGGGUGCGAUGGUAGCCGUGCCGCACAUCCGCCUGUUCACCAUCGCGCCCUAUGGGUGCGAUGGUAGCCACGCCGCACAUCCGCCUGUUCACCAUUGCACCCUAUGGGUGCGAUGGUAGCCGCGCCGCACAUCCGCCUGUUCACCGUCACACCCUCUGGGUGCGAUGGUAGCCGUGCCGCACAUCCACCUGUUCACCGAUCGCACCCUAUGGGUGCGAUGGUAGCCGCGCCGCACAUCCGCCUGUUCACCGUCGCACCCUAUGGGUGCGAUGGUAGCCGCACCGCACAUCCGCCUGUUCAGUGUCGCGCCCUAUGGGUGCGAUGGUAGCCGCCGCACAUCCACCUGUUCACCCUCACGCCCUCUGGGCGCGAUGGUAGCCGCGCCGCACAUCCGCCUGUUCACCAUCGCGCCCUAUGGGUGCGAUGGUAGCCACGCUGCACAUCCGCCUGUUCACCAUUGCGCCCUCUGGGUGCGAUGGUAGCCGUGCCGCACAUCCGCCUGUUCACCGUCACACCCUCUGGGUGCGAUGGUAGCCGUGCCGCACAUCCACCUGUUCACUGUCGCGCCCUAUGGGUGCGAUGGUAGCCGUGCCGCACAUCCGCCUGUUCACUAUCACGCCCUCUGGGUGCGAUGGUAGCCCUGCCGCACAUCCGCCUGUUCACCAUCGCACCCUAUGGGUGCGAUGGUAGCCGUGCCGCACAUCCGCCUGUUCACCAUCGCACCCUAUGGGUACGAUGGUAGCCGCGCCGCACAUCCGCCUGUUCACCGUCGCACCCUCUGGGCGCGAUGGUAGCCGUGCCGCACAUCCGCCUGUUCACCGUCGCACCCUCUGGGUGCGAUGGUAGCCGCGCCGCACAUCCGCCUGUUCACCGUCGCACCCUUUGGGUGCGAUGGUAGCCGCACCGCACAUCCGCCUGUUCACCAUCACGCCCUAUGGGUGCGAUGGUAGCCGCGCCGCACAUCCGCCUGUUCACCAUCGCGCCCUAUGGGUGCGAUGGUAGCCGUGCCGCACAUCCGCCUGUUCACCAUCGCGCCCUCUGGGUGCGAUGGUAGCCGUGCCGCACAUCCGCCUGUUCACCAUCGCACCCUAUGGGUGCGAUGGUAGCCACGCCGCACAUCCGCCUGUUCACCAUCGCACCCUAUGGGUGCGAUGGUAGCCGUGCCGCACAUCCGCCUGUUCACCAUGACACCCUAUGGGUACGAUGGUAGCCGCGCCGCACAUCCGCCUGUUCACUGUUGCGCCCUCUGGGCGUGAUGGUAGCCGUGCCACACAUCCGCCUGUUCACCAUCGCGCCCUCUGGGCGCGAUGGUAGCCACGCCGCACAUCCGCCUGUUCACCAUUGCACCCUAUGCGUGCGAUGGUAGCCGUGCCGCACAUCCGCCUGUUCACCGUCACACCCUCUGGGCGCGAUGGUAGCCGUGCCGCACAUCCACCUGUUCACCGACGCGCCCUCUGGGCACGAUGGUAGCCGCGCCGCACAUCCGCCUGUUCACUGUCGCACCCUAUGGGUGCGAUGGUAGCCGCACCACACAUCCGCCUGUUCAGUGUCGCGCCCUAUGGGUGCGAUGGUAGCCGCACUGCACAUCCGCCUGUUCACCCUCACGCCCUCUGGGCGCGAUGGUAGCCGCGCGGCACAUCCGCCUGUUCACCAUCGCACCCUAUGGGUGCGAUGGUAGCCGCGCUGCACAUCCACCUGUUCACCAUCGCACCCUCUGGGUGCGAUGGUAGCCGUGCCGCACAUCCGCCUGUUCACUGUUGCGCCCUAUGGGUGCGAUGGUAGCCGCGCCGCACAUCCACCUGUUCACUGUCGCACCCUAUGGGCGCGAUGGUAGCCGCACCGCACAUCCGCCUGUUCACCAUCGCACCCUAUGGGUGCGAUGGUAGCCGCGCCGCACAUCCGCCUGUUCACCGUCGCGCCCUAUGGGUGCGAUGGUAGCCGCGCCGCACAUCCGCCUGUUCACCAUCGCGCCCUCUGGGUGCGAUGGUAGCCGCGCCGCACAUCCACCUGUUCACCAUCGCACCCUCUGGGCGCGAUGGUAGCCACACCGCACAUCCGCCUGUUCACCAUUGCACCCUAUGGGUGCGAUGGUAGCCGCACCACACAUCCGCCUGUUCACUGUCGCGCCCUAUGGGUGCGAUGGUAGCCGCCCCCGUGCUGCACAUCCGCUUGUUCACCAUCGCACCCUCUGGGUGCGAUGGUAGCCGCGCCGCACAUCCGCCUGUUCACCAUCGCGCCCUAUGGGUGCGAUGGUAGCCGCACCGCACAUCCGCCUGUUCACUGUCGCGCCCUAUGGGUGCGAUGGUAGCCGCGCCGCACAUCCACCUGUUCACCAUCGCGCCCUCUGGGUGCGAUGGUAGCCGCGCCGCACAUCCGCCUGUUCACCAUUGCGCCCUCUGGGCGCGAUGGUAGCCGCGCCGCACAUCCACCUGUUCACCGUCGCACCCUAUGGGUGCGAUGGUAGCCGCACCACACAUCCGCCUGUUCACCAUCGCGCCCUAUGGGCGUGAUGGUAGCCGCGCCGCACAUCCGCCUGUUCACCGUCGCGCCCUAUGGGUGCGAUGGUAGCCGCACCGCACAUCCGCCUGUUCACCAUUGCGCCCUCUGGGCGCGAUGGUAGCCGCGCCGCACAUCCGUCUGUUCACCAUCGCGCCCUAUGGGCGCGAUGGUAGCCGCGCCGCACAUCCGCCUGUUCACCGUCGCACCCUAUGGGCGCGAUGGUAGCCGCGCCGCACAUCCGCCUGUUCACCAUCGCGCCCUAUGGGUGCGAUGGUAGCCGCACCGCACAUCCGCCUGUUCACCAUCGCACCCUAUGGGUGCGAUGGUAGCCGCACCGCACAUCCGCCUGUUCACCAUCACACCCUAUGGGCGCGAUGGUAGCCGCGCCACACAUCCGCCUGUUCACCAUCGCGCCCUAUGGGUGCGAUGGUAGCCGCGCCGCACAUCCGCCUGUUCACCAUCGCACCCUAUGGGUGCGAUGGUAGCCGCGCCGCACAUCCGCCUGUUCACCAUCGCGCCCUAUGGGCGCGAUGGUAGCCGCGCCACACAUCCGCCUGUUCACCGUCGCGCCCUAUGGGUGCGAUGGUAGCCACACCACACAUCCGCCUGUUCACCAUUGCGCCCUCUGGGCGCGAUGGUAGCCGCGCCGCACAUCCAUCUGUUCACCAUCGCGCCCUAUGGGCGUGAUGGUAGCCGCGCCACACAUCCGCCUGUUCACCGUCGCACCCUAUGGGCGCGAUGGUAGCAGCGCCGCACAUCCGCCUGUUCACCAUUGCGCCCUAUGGGUGCGAUGGUAGCCGCGCCGCACAUCCGCCUGUUCACCAUCGCACCCUAUGGGUGCGAUGGUAGCCGCGCCGCACAUCCGCCUGUUCACCAUCGCGCCCUAUGGGCGCGAUGGUAGCCGCGCCACACAUCCGCCUGUUCACCAUCGCGCCCUAUGGGCGUGAUGGUAGCCAGCGCCACACAUCCGCCUGUUCACCAUCGCGCCCUCUGGGUGCGAUGGUAGCCGCGCCGCACAUCCGCCUGUUCACCAUCGCGCCCUAUGGGCGCGAUGGUAGCCGCACCGCACAUCCGCCUGUUCACCUCGCACCCUAUGGGUGCGAUGGUAGCCGCACCACACAUCCGCCUGUUCACCAUCGCGCCCUAUGGGUGCGAUGGUAGCCGCCCCCCACAUCCGCCUGUUCACCGUCGCACCCUAUGGGUGCGAUGGUAGCCGCACCGCACAUCCGCCUGUUCACCGUCACGCCCUCUGGGCGCGAUGGUAGCCGCACCACACAUCCGCCUGUUCACCAUCGCACCCUAUGGGUGCGAUGGUAGCCGCGCCGCACAUCCGCCUGUUCACCAUCGCGCCCUAUGGGCGCGAUGGUAGCCGCGCCGCACAUCCGCCUGUUCACUGUCGCACCCUAUGGGUGCGAUGGUAGCCGCGCCGCACAUCUGCCUGUUCACCAUCGCACCCUAUGGGCGCGAUGGUAGCCGCGCCACACAUCCGCCUGUUCACCGUCGCACCCUAUGGGUGCGAUGGUAGCCGCACCGCACAUCCGCCUGUUCACCGUCGCGCCCUAUGGGUGCGAUGGUAGCCGCACCACACAUCCGCCUGUUCACCAUCGCACCCUAUGGGCGCGAUGGUAGCCGCGCCACACAUCCGCCUGUUCACCAUCGCACCCUAUGGGCGCGAUGGUAGCCGCACCACACAUCCGCCUGUUCACCGUCGCACCCUAUGGGUGCGAUGGUAGCCGCACCGCACAUCCGCCUGUUCACCGUCGCGCCCUAUGGGUGCGAUGGUAGCCGCACCACACAUCCGCCUGUUCACCAUCGCACCCUAUGGGUGCGAUGGUAGCCGCGCCGCACAUCCGCCUGUUCACCAUCGCACCCUAUGGGCGCGAUGGUAGCCGCGCCGCACAUCCGCCUGUUCACUGUCGCACCCUAUGGGUGCGAUGGUAGCCACACCGCACAUCCGCCUGUUCACCAUCGCACCCUAUGGGUGCGAUGGUAGCCGCACCACACAUCCGCCUGUUCACCGUCGCACCCUAUGGGUGCGAUGGUAGCCGCGCCACACAUCCGCCUGUUCACCGUGGCGCCCUCUGGGUGCGAUGGUAGCCGCGCCGCACAUCCGCCUGUUCACCGUCGCGCCCUAUGGGUGCGAUGGUAGCCGCGCCGCACAUCCAUCUGUUCACCAUCGCGCCCUAUGGGCGUGAUGGUAGCCGCGCCACACAUCCGCCUGUUCACCGUCGCACCCUAUGGGCGUGAUGGUAGCAGCGCCGCACAUCCGCCUGUUCACCAUUGCACCCUAUGGGUGCGAUGGUAGCCGC